rnacentral:rRNA from 1 species
UGCAAGUCGAGCGGACAGACGGGAGCUUGCUCCCUGAUGUUAGCGGCGGACGCCUGAGUAACACGUGGGUAACCCGCCUGUAAGACUGGGAUAACUCCUCGGAAACCGGGGCUAAUACCGGAUGCUUGUUUGAACCGCAUGGUUCAAGCAUAAAAGGUGGCUUCGGCUACCACUUACAGAUGGACCCGCCGCGCAUUAGCUAGUUGGUGAGGUAAUGGCUCACCAAGGCAACGAUGCGUACCCGACCUGAGAGGGUGAUCGGCCACACUGGGACUGAGACACGGCCCACACUCCUACGGGAGGCAGCAGUAGGGAAUCUUCCGCAAUGGACGAAAGUCUGACGGAGCAACGCCGCGUGAGUGAUGAAAGUUUUCGGAUCGUAAAGCUCUGUUGUUAGGGAAGAACAAGUACCGUUCGAAUAGGGCGGUACCUUGACGGUACCUAACCAGAAAGCCACGGCUAACUACGUGCCAGCAGCCGCGGUAAUACGUAGGUGGCAAGCGUUGUCCGGAAUUAUUGGGCGUAAAGGGCUCGCAGGCGGUUUCUUAAGUCUGAUGUGAAAGCCCCCGGCUCAACCGGGGAGGGUCAUUGGAAACUGGGGAACUUGAGUGCAGAAGAGGAGAGU